rnacentral:lncRNA from 1 species
CUCAAAAGCCUGAAGCAAUGACAAAGGCUGUUCAAAGUGCUGAGGAACCAAGGAAAUGUACAUAUUUGGCUUAAUUCAUAAAACUGUCAUUGAAGGCCAGCUAAGAAGACGAAGAUUUUUGUCCAGGAUCUGCAGCUGUGAGACCACAGAAAGUUUGUUGACUCAUGACCUAGAUGACUGCAAGAGCCUACAAUGAAGUCCCUCUGCAAACAGAAGCAAAAGGCACAGUCUGCUCCUCCUAAAGCAAGUCCACAUCUCUACUCCAGAAAAGAGCAAACUAUUUACAACUAUUUAAAUACAGCCUUUUCAUCUUAAAAAUUACAUUAAGUUUCUGGAAUUCUGAUAUACCCAAUUCCAACUCUGGCACUCUUCCAAUCAAC